rnacentral:tRNA from 1 species
GGUUGAGCGGUGGUUUCAUAAGCGAGAGAUCCCCGGUUCGAAUCCUGGUC